rnacentral:rRNA from 1 species
UAGGAAUUAUGCGCAAUGGACGAAAGUCUGACGCUGCGACGCCGCGUGAAGGAUGAAGGUCUUAGGAUCGUAAACUUCUUUUAUCUACGAACAAGUUCUGAGUGUAGUAGAUGAAUAAGUGCCUGCCAACCACGUGCCAGAAGCAUCGGUAAUACGUGGGACACAAGCGUUACCCGGAUUCACUGGGCGUAAAGAGAUGCGUAGGCGGCUAGAAAAGGUCUGUGUUAAAUCCCAAGGCUCACCCUUGG